GUCCAUCCAGAGACAUCUAAUAAAUUGAAACAAUAUAGAAAUGAUGAGCAUGACUAAUGCACAAGAUUGCAUACAUAAAUAGAGAUAUAUGUUAUUAUU